UACUCCUACGGGAGGCAGCAGUGGGGAAUAUUGCACAAUGGGCGAAAGCCUGAUGCAGCAACGCCGCGUGAGUGAUGACGGCCUUCGGGUUGUAAAGCUCUGUCUUUGGGGACGAUAAUGACGGUACCCAAGGAGGAAGCCACGGCUAACUACGUGCCAGCAGCCGCGGUAAUA
rnacentral:rRNA from 1 species